rnacentral:rRNA from 1 species
CAGGCCUAACACAUGCAAGUCGAACGAUGAAGCCUAGCAAUCUUUGGUUGUUGGGUGGAUUAGUGGCGAACGGGUGAGUAAUACGUGGGUAACCUGCCCUCCUUUUUGGGAUAAGCCUUGGAAACGGGGUCUAAUACCGAAUAUUCUGGCGCUCUCGCAUGGGGGUGUUGGGAAAGCUUUUGUGUGAAGGGGGAUGGGCUCGCGGCCUAUCAGCUUGUUGGUGGGGUGAUGGCCUACCAAGGCGGUGACGGGUAGCCGGCCUGAGAGGGUGACCGGCCACAUUGGGACUGAGAUACGGCCCAGACUCCUACGGGAGGCAGCAGUGGGGGAUAUUGCACAAUGGGCGAAAGCCUGAUGCAGCGACGCCGCGUGGGGGAUGAAGGCUUUCGGGUUGUAAACCUCUUUCGCUAUCGAACAAGGCCCGCUUAGGGUGGGUUGAGGGUAGGUGGAGAAGAAGCGCCGGCUAACUACGUGCCAGCAGCCGCGGUAAUACGUAGGGCGCGAGCGUUGUCCGGAAUUAUUGGGCGUAAAGGGCUUGUAGGCGGCUUGUUGCGCCUGCUGUGAAAACGCGGGGCUUAACUUCGCGCGUGCAGUGGGUACGGGCAGGCUUGAGUGUGGUAGGGGUGACUGGAAUUCCAGGUGUAGCGGU